GACGAACGCUGGCGGCGUGCUUAACACAUGCAAGUCGAACGAUGAAGCCGGAGCUUGCUCUGGUGAAUUAGUGGCGAACGGGUGAGUAACACGUGAGUAACCUGCCCUUGACUCUGGGAUAACUGCGGGAAACUGUAGCUAAUACCGGAUACGACCCUCGGAGGCAUCUCCUGGGGGUGGAAAGAAUUUCGGUCAAGGAUGGACUCGCGGCCUAUCAGCUAGUUGGUGAGGUAAAGGCUCACCAAGGCGACGACGGGUAGCCGGCCUGAGAGGGUGACCGGCCACACUGGGACUGAGACACGGCCCAGACUCCUACGGGAGGCAGCAGGGGGGAAUAUUGCACAAUGGGCGCAAGCCUGAUGCAGCAACGCCGCGUGAGGGAUGACGGCCUUCGGGUUGUAAACCUCUUUUAGUAGGGAAGAAGCGAAAGUGUCGGUACCUGCAGAAAAAGCACCGGCUAACUACGUGUCAGCCGCCGCCGUAA
rnacentral:rRNA from 1 species